AGUGCCGAUAGCCUCAGCCGAUUUCAACAGUAUGUACCAUGCACAUGCAUUGCCGUUUAAAAAGGAAUCACAAUGGCAAGAAUUGUCUUCAUACUGACCUCUGCUGGCUGCCUCUCAUCAAAGUAUAUUAAAAGAUGCUUUGUACGAGAUUGUAGCUACGAUAAGAAUAUACCCAUUCAAAGGCUCAGAAAGAAAACUCGUUUAUAAAACAACAUCGCAAACAAUGACCGCACAGUAAGCCAACAUUUGACGGCAGCGGCAGUUUUCGUCACACACUCUUUCUGCCUUUUCAGCUUUCUUUAGUUAUGGGUCAAAAUUAUAAAUUAUUAAAUU